rnacentral:rRNA from 1 species
UCUUUUACGCAGGGCGCCAUUGCGGAAGGGACCCAUUUUUAGCAAAGGAACGGAAGGGGUGCUUCGGUUGGACGGAAGGAGGUACUUAGACCGGAAGGAGGCGAGCAGGAGGGGGUAGAGGAAGGAGGUACUUAGACCGGUGUGCGACGGGAACGGAGAAGGGAAGGCCAGGAAAGUAGUUGCUGGUGGACAUCCAUUUCCUCUACUGCAGGACCUAAGGCGGAGUAGGAGAAAGGUUAGGCUGCGGAGGUGUGUGGGCGAGGGAGCGGUAGCCGCCGCGGCGGCGUACGGCCAGGAGGCACGCAGCGGAGGAGAAGGAGGUGCUGGGGAGGUGCAUGAGCGUCUGCUGCCGUCGGCCUUGGCGGGGGCAGCGGGAGCAGUGGAGGUGAACAAGGUGCUAGACCGGUUCGGUGGCUCUCUUUCGACAAGCGCCACAACAUCGCGACGACCCCUCGACGCGCAAUACUACUUGUAGACGGAGGAGGAGGCACAGUACGGGACCAUGGAUAGAAACCAAAACUAACUACGGAGUGUAAAGACAAUCUCGCAACCAUUCAUCGUCUAAAGAACCCUCAAGUCCAUCGACGAAACAGAGGUUGUGGGUUGGGGUAAAUAAAAUAAAUCCAGAACUACGAUACCUGUAACAAACCACAGCGAACCUAAGUCUGGACGACAUAACCCGUGUUUUUUAUAUUCUAGUGUGUACCUGUGUAACGUUCACACCUAUCUUUAUAUAACCACCACGUAACAGUGUACAUACGAUGUAGACAUUAGUCUCUAAGUCCAGUAUGGUCAAAAAACCAGAGAAGUAAACACUAUGAAAAAAGGAAAUCCUUCAGUAACGGAAAAACGGUUCUUAAGUAGUGACUUUCUCGACUUCAACUCUAGAGGCAAAUUUCGUCACUAAUUAAUGACUGGCAUUUUAUUAAACAGUAGCACUCUAAGAAGUUGACAGCCAAGCGGUAGUUAAAAUCCUAAAUUGGUUGAUUUUACUUUGGUUCUAUGUCAACGACGACGUGAAUACUCGUUUAACAUGUCCCAUUUCUGUACGUCGACGAGUUCUUGUCCCCUUCCUGGUUAGACGACAAAGCCAACAAAUACACGCGACUUCUAACAAGUAUGGGCAUAGGGCUUCUAUCUUCCGUUUUAUUAGGUUAAGUAGUGUAAACUUAAAGGAUUAGGUUGAAGUCAUCAAUUUGUGAAAUUCAACAAGAGGGAUUUCAAUGUAAGAACGGUCAAUUAGAGUACCGGAUUGGAAACACUAGUUUAACAGAGGUCUCAAUUCAUGGGUCUAGCACAUUGAAAUUAUGCUCCUUUAGUACUCGUCCGUCUAAUGUGUUCAAAUACUGAAGAUACUACUCACAGAAGUACUUAUGCCGAGCCACUUACAGACCUCUACAACGUGUCUUUAUAAGCUGAUAAAUUCAAACAGACGUGAAUGACUCUUGUUUUAGAAGUUACAGGUGCCUCCGGAAAGGGGACGAUAAUGCCGUCACUUAGUCCGAAAUAAAGUGAACCUCUUUUCAUUAGUCCUCGAGUUCCCACUGGAGUUCAUGUACAUGCAGAUGUGACGUUACAUUCAUCUAUUAGGUCUACCUACAGCAACCCUUGUCCUUCCGUCAACACUAGAUACACGGUAUGACAGACGCGUUCCGGAAGUCCUUCUAAGUGCUACCUAAUCAAACGAGAAAAGUAAUAGGUCAGAAGGACAAAAUCUCGUUUAUUUAGUCUAAAUAACCAUCUAAUUAAAAAUCCGCAGACGUAACAACACUACGAGUACCAACGACUAAAGUCAGACAUAAUUGGUCAAGAACACAACUGACCUCCUUUCCAACCGGCAUAGUCAGUAGGUAGAACAUUCUAACAGUGGAGAGACAAUUAUAUAUGAGGGAGCCAGGUUUUUAUUCACAGAGUUGAAAUAUGAUCAAAAUCAUGUUUCAACAUGAUUCGAACCCUGUGAAUAAAACCCUGCCUCUCUCAUGGAUAAUCGAACGAGACGAAAUACUCAUUUGUGAAAAAGUUGUUAGCAGCGUACUCAACUGGUCGUAAAGGUAAGGUACAUGUACAAGACAGCGUACUCAACUGGUCGUAAAGGUAAGGUACAUGUACAAGACGGUCGAACGAGACGAACGAUACGAAAUACUGACUUCUGAGAUGACGACGUCAAAAUAAUUUACAUAAAAAAAUCGUUAACCGCGAGUGCACCUGACGUGUGUUUGCAGUUGUUGAUUUUGUCGAUCUAAUCACGCGUUUACGUGCGGAGUUCUCCGCGCGGGGUCGGUGAUCUUAAGUACAUUGAGUCUUCAAAAGUG